rnacentral:lncRNA from 1 species
GCAGCCGCCUCCUCCUCCACUGUAAUGAGAUUUUGCUCGAGAUUCUCGAUUGGAGAAUUGUUGGUGGUCUUCUUCUUCCAAUACUUGAAGCUCUUCUUGACUAUGCUUUUCCUCGUCUAGUCGUGUCUGGGGCAUCUGGAAGUAAAGAUUUUUUUACUUGUAUUUUCAUUUAGUGAAUAAUUGAUUUGGGCUGUGCGGAAAUUGUGGAUCGUGAUGGUAAAUCAUCUUCUCUUUGGUAAAAGCAUUUGACUCCAUUCUUGCAGUUUAUGAAGGUUUCUGCAAUCUGAAAUAGGUAAUUUUCUCACAAUUUUCAAUAUUUCUUGUCAAAUAUCAUUUGGGAUCCCUGCAAUUUUCUUGAAAUGUCACACAGUUGAUGAGUUUUUUUCUGGAAUUGAUAGUGAUUCGGUAAAAAUUUGAGCUUUGUCAGUGGAUCUAUUCUCUUAAGCAGUCAAGCCCACAUGCAUUUUUGCUUUUAUAUAUUUUCUCCUCUUGUUUCCACUUGCAAGAAUAAGAAAAUAAUUUAAUUUCUAUGAUUGAAUCAUCAUUUUUGAGUUGGGAUUUAACCUUUAGCUUUAGUCGGGAUUUAACUAGUGAUGUUGCACGUGGAUCUAAAGCUAAAGGUUUGCCGAGGUUCAUCAGUUCGGAAAAUUCCUGUUCGAGAGGCCAAUUCCUACUGUGCAACUAAGGUUAUAGUAGGGACUGCUGGAAAUCAUCAUAUAAGGUCAUCUGCCUCUGUUGCUAAAUACUAUACUAAGAAAUUGCCCAAGGAUUGUUCGGACUUAGAUGAGAAUACCGGAGAGAAGCUUCUUGGAUCUUCGGUGACUGACCGAAGUGAGGCGGUGGCUGCUGGUCGUUUGGGUUUGUGGGGUUGGGAGUAAGGGUUUAGAUGAAAUUUUCACUUGAGGUCCUCAAGGUUUUGUGUUCACGUGUUCUGGUCCUUUAAGUUUGAAUUAAAGUCAUAUAGUGCUACCAAUUUAAAAGAGUGACCGUUGGUGAAACCGUCCCAAAACUUCAGUGACCGUUUCUGCAAGUUUGUAAUUUCAGUGACUAUUCUGAAAUUUUUAGUUAAGUUCAGUGACUGUUUGUGAAAUUUACCCAUAAAUAAAGAGAUUGUUAUUCUAGAUAUUGUAGACAUUCUCUCAUUUUCAUCUCUAAGCAUUUUGACUUUCCCAUUUCUCAAAAAAAAGGCAGUAGGAGACAGGUUAUUGAAAUGAGGUGGAUCCUAAAAAGGAGGGGUUGGAGGGCUCGUGCACUAAGGUGUUGGAUUAAGUCUUUCAACGAGCGAAACCAUCGUGUUUAAUUGUCCUUGUUGAGUUUGAAAUUCAAAAUAGAUUGCGGUGAUAUGUUAGAGAAAGGUGAAGAUGAAGUUUUAAUCAUGUACAUGCCAAAUCAUGAAUUAAUGAGUCUAUCCAAUUUCAUGGUGUACAAAUUUGAAAAGUUGUAACUUAUGAAGGAAGCAAAACACAUACAACUCGUUCACGUAUCACUUCUACUUACUAUCAAAGAUUCAAAUAGAAUGUAUUAUGAUUCAUAAAACUUCAGAGUAAUGGUUUUAAUCUAUAAAUUCCCCAAAAAAAAACAAUAAAAAUUAUUAGCAAGGGAUUCUUGCAUGUGUGUCUCUGUCUCCUCAUAACCUUUACAUAGACAUAUGCUAAAGAUUGUGUCAUAGUCCUAUAAUUCAUGAUAUGUUGCACAUUUUCAACUACUCAAUUUUUUCCUAACGAUUCUGCCAGUCCAAAAUUAGCAUCAAAUCAUCCUUUCUUCCCUUUCGAGGCCCUGACUGGCCAGAAUGGGGAGGAUUUCUCCAUACUCUUUGUUGAUAAUAAUGUAGGGAAAUCUGAAUACGUUAAUGAACUCCAAGGCACGAAAAAAAAAGGUUAUCUUUUAAGAGAUGUUUCUCCCCUAUUCAAAAAAGGAACAACUGGGGUAUGAUAGAAAAUCUCUCUCAAGAUACAAUAGAGGCGUUUGAUUCAAAUUGUGACUAUUUGAUCAAACCAAGAAGACACUCGAAAAUGACUGAUUGAUGCCAAGAAAAAGAAGGAAGAAUAAAUUGUUUAAUGUGUUUGCAAAUGAGAAUUCGCCAUGAAUUUAUAAACAUUGAGGCAACUAUUUGAAUAGGUGUAUCCCUUGGAAGUGACUGUUAAAAAUGAACAGAUGCACCUAUUCAAAAACUUUUGAAAAUAAAAUUCUCUUUCGGGGGGUUGCCCCCUCGACCCCCGAGACCUGACCGGGCAGGUUGAACCCCGUUGCGCAGCGGCAAACACUAAUCCUGGCGGCAAAUCAUUCGCAAAACAAAAAAUUAAACACAUGCAAAAUGAUGAAAAAUAUCUAACACUCUUUGCCUGAGUCAAAGCUCGAGAUCAAAAUUCAAGCAUGCCAAACGGAUCCACACACAGUUGGUGGCCUUUGUCCCUGUCGUCCACUGCCUCUUCCAUCACCACCAGACCAACCUUUCAAGAAAUGGUUCCCUUGGAUUGUGCCCACCAUUGUUGUUGUCGUCAAAAUUAUCAUAUUUGUCAUUUCAAUGUACAUCAAUAAUUAAUUGUCGUGAGAAGUCCACCAAGUGCAUUGGUACGUCGACUUUAGGCAGGUUCGCGUUUCAAAGUAUGAAAGAAAACCCAUUGCUUGGUCCAUCAGCCGCUAUGUGAGUGCAUGUAUAGCCCUCAUGAAUUCGUGGAUCUUUCAAUUUCUUUGAUUGUAUAUUAUUUUGCUAAAGUGUGGAUAUUUUAGUCCCAAGUUUAUAAUAUUGUCUAAACAAACAUCAUAAUCAGCUUUACAACCCAUGAAAAACCAUGUAUCUUCGAUAUGUUUCUAUACACUUAAAUUAUAUUUUUCUAAUUUCACACAUAUAGCAAAUAACCAAUGGGCUAUGGUGCAUUUCGUUAUAACAUAGCACGUAAUAGUGAACAUUGAUUCGAGUUAAAUAGAAUAUAUCCACCCCGUAGGAUUAGAACUAUAAAAUUCAUAUCCCAUUUCUGCUUUAAUAAAUUAUUCACACAACAUAGAUUAGAACAUCAAUUUCUAUACAUUAUGAUUUUUUCUAUUUAAUAUAUGUCAAAUUCAGAUUCAAGUAAAGUGGAUAUUGAAUCUUAUUAAGUUAGAGGCACACAACUUUGAGAAAAUUCAACAUGCAUGAUGUCGUUUCAUUAAAAAUCUUAAGAUGAAUUUUCUUAUGCAUAUUAUAUUUUAUUUGCAAUCGAAAUCAAGAUACUGCAUGAAUAAAAUCAUAAGACAGAAUUUUGACGUAUCAUGAUUCUGGUAAAUGUGUUUUAUUACAACAUUUUAAUUAGAGAAAUUCAUGUGUAAUGAAUCUGUAUAUUAUUGCAUAAUCGAUAGUGAUUCUAUAACUUGGAAUCAUUCUUUUAUAUGUUGAAUUCAUUACAAUAUAUUUCAAGUUGAUUUGUCGACAAAUAAUCUGAUAUUAUUCAAUCCUGCACCAUAUAAUGUAGAUUCUGGUUUUGACCCAUUAGAAGAAAUUCUAAUAUUCAGAGAUUAGAGUGAAAAAUCUCAAAUUGGUGCACCAGAUUAUAUGAUAAUUAGUUGUGAAAUUCAUAAUACAUAUUAUAUUCAUGAACCGGUGCAUACAUGUUUGUGUAUUGUAUUUGUUGGUAGUCUCAUCUAUGAGUUUUAUUUGUUGGCACUCUUUUAAUUCAAAGUGUAUCUAUAUUAAAAUAUAAGUUGUGUCAGAAGUUGCCUAAGGAAUUUUGAUUGGGAAGGUUGGUAAAAUUUUGUUAACUGUUUGUAAACAAAUAGUAUGCAUGCUAUAUGGAAAAAUGUAUCUUUCCAAAUUAAAAACAGUUUUUAAUUUUUGAAAUGGUGUGACCCGUUUGAAUUGUGUAGCAUGAAAUAUCUGUCCAGAUAGUAUAUAAAUGUAAACUGAUUUGUAAAGUCAAAUUGCACAUGGACAUUGUGAAUUUUAUAUACUAACCAUUGCAUUCCUUCAUAUUUAAAUUGCCUCAAUUCAAAAUUAUCAAGAAAUAAAUUUACUAAACUUGCGAAAGAUGCAUCUUGGGAUAAUUUUAAUUGUUCAAAGCAUGUUGGCUUUGGUUUUGCCAAAAUCUAGUAAUGCUGAAAUUUAUAGUUUGUGUAGAAUUCUUUACUUUUAGUUUAUGCGUAUGUCAUCCCAAUAACUUUUGUUCUCUCACUAUGACAAAUCAUUAUGCGUUUGAAUAUAUUACUUGCAUAAGAAGACAUAUUUUAACUGAUAAAUAUGCUCAUAACGGUAAUGGCAUGAGUAUGCAUUUAUUUUAAGUAGGCAACUUUGUUGGGUAUCUAUAUGAUAAUCAUGUGAAGCGGAUUAGUGUAUUCAUUUGAUGAAUCCAUACAAGCGUUUGGAUUUUGGAUUGACCUUUUUGGUUAAAAUGGUCUAAUUAAUUAAAUUUUCAUAUUCUGUUGAAAUUAUACUAACUUUGAUGAAUGUUGAUAGCCUCAUUUAAUCCUAUGGAACUAAGUGAGAUGAUUUAAGUUGAUAUAAGUAUUUAGUUAUGAGAAUUAAGCCACUUAAUUAUUUGAAAUAUUUUACGAUCAAUUUAGAUGAAAAUGUGCGUCCUUUCAUAUGAAUAAUCAUGACUUUUGGUAUGAUUAUUUUCAAUGGGUGUGUCUCUUCAGAGAGAUUAAUUCAAGAGGUGUGUCCUUUUGUAGGAUUGUGUCUCUUGAAGAACAAAACUUUUCAACAUAUGGUUGAUUCGUUCGUUCAAAUUUGAAUAUGAUGAAUAAGGUGAAUAUGUACCUUAUUAUUUGACAUAAAAUGAAAUUAUUAUGUGAAAUGUCACAAAUGUGAUAAGUUGCAUAUCUUGCAGUGCUUAGCCCUCUUUAUUGUUGAAUUUAACUUCAAUCAUGAAACCAGUUAGGUUGGUAUAUGUUUUGAAAGCAUCGUUGGUCCAUAUAAUGGUAUUGAUUUAAUUUGGAUGAUCAAAAUUAAUUAGAUUGAAGUACGUUAUAUGCAAGUUGACGACCACUACUUUGAAAAUACAUAGACUUUCACGAAGCACUCGAUGCGGAUAUUGUCUAAGAGAUAAAUGAAUAGAACUAUAAAAGAGUUGCUGAAUUCUAAGUUUAAGUAUAACCCAAGAAUGUGGUAGGUUAAAUUUAAUGCUUGUGGACUUGAAAUGGAAUGUUCAAAACUUGUAGAUGCAACAUUACUAGAUUGCAUAUGUAUUCCUAAUUGAGGAAUUGUCGAGGUAACUCAAUUUAACAGUUACAUUUGCUUUUAUCUUAUAAUCAUAGAAAGAUAUUUAUGAAGGUGAAAAGAUAGAAAAUUCUUAUACUAAUUAUAAGGAUGAUAUACACUAAGUCUAAAGUAAAUUAAAUGGGUAGAAACCAAUUGUGGCGGUUGUUUGGACAUACAAGAAUAAUUGAAAUAUAUGAAGAAUAUUCAUAUAGAUCAAAUGCAUGGUAAUGUUUCAAUGAUGAUAUUGAAUACCCAUGAUUCUGAAAUCCACUUGUAAACAUGGUUGACUAGUGUAAUAAUUAGAUAGAAAUCCUCUAACAAUGUUGUUUGGAAAUUGAUAAAGUUUUAGAUAAAGCUAAUGAGGCAUGUAGUUUCAUGAGAGGAUUUCUUGGUGGCGAUAAUUUGUAUUUAUCAAAUGAAUCAAUCAUUGGCUAGCAAUAUUUGAUAAGAUACUAAGUCACAUGUAAUGGUAAGUUUAGACGUAUAAGUCAAAGACAUAAUAAGUUUAGACGUAUAAGUCAAAGACAUAAUACCAUUAAACAGAUAAUCUCAGUAAUGUAAACUCGUGGGACCUUUAAAGAGAUUUACUAAGAGAGAUCAAGAAUACUGCAUAUCGAAGGGAAUGAGGUAAAGCCAACUACGUUAGAGUCCUUGUAAUGGUAACCUUAUCUUGUUGACUGGAGAUCCCAAUAUCUUGGUUCAAAGGGACGACUAAGUUAUAAGGAUUCCAUGAAGUAUUAAGGAAAAUAGUUUCCUAACUCAUUCUUAUGAUAUUAAAGUGCUUUCUGCAGAGUUGCAAGAGAUUAAGAUAAUCUUUUAAUGAUUCAUAUAUCUCGAUUAAGUCAAGUGGAGUAGGGCAGAAUACUCUUAAUAGGAGGUCACCUAUAUGAGUGUGAAGUGGGGCCGCUUCAAUGAGAAUUAUUCAAAGCUUGAAUUCUUUAAACACUCGCAAACCCAAGAGGGGUUCGGGGCCAAAAUGAACCAAGUAAUAAGAACUAUAAACGGUUGAGGGAAGAUAUUGUGUGAGUAUCAUUGUCUUGGCUUACACUAAAGGUUGAAUGGUUCAAGACAUCACGUUCACCAAUUAGCCGAGUAAGUCCGAUGAUAUUUCACUAAGGGAGAUUCAAGGCCAAAAGCUACCUUCCCUGAUGCAGUGUUUUUUCGCACCCUCUCUACAUUGCAUAAUAUCAUCACAUUUGCAUAUGCGUACCCAAUUUCCAUUCACGUGGGGAAUUGUAGGAAUUGGUUUACAUAAUUAAGCAAAAUUGGAAAAUGAAAAUGCGUGUAAAAAUGGAAAAUGAAAAUGUGUGACUACGUGUCAAUUUCGACCAAAUAUUCGGAUUUGAUCCGAUGGUCAAAUUACAAAAGUAAAUAGACCAACUUAUUCUCUUCGUCGAGUAGAUCGUCGUGGUUUAUUUGGAAUCUCGAAACCAAUUCUAGAUGAAUGAGAAAUUGUGGACCAAAGUUGGAAGAAAUGAAGUGUUGCAACUUUUCGAAAGGAUGCAGGUUUUGACCAAGUGUUGCAACUUUUUGAAAGGAUGCAUGUUUUGGCCACACUACUUCAUUUGCACCCUUUCUACAUCUAUAAAUAGAACCCUACGGACAUGAUUUUGGGUACACCAAUUGCAUUAAGCAUUCAUUCUCCUCUUGCAAUUCACUCCUUUCUAAAUUCCAUAGCAUUUUCAUGCAUUUCCUUGAUAGAGAUGGAAUUCCGUUCAAGUUCGCUGGUCGAAGUCAUUUGAAGUGCUUCUAUGGCUUGAUGUGGUCGUUGUAUCUUGGGAAAUGAUUGUCGAAAAAUCGUUAGCACCGAUGCGGGGCAAAUUCAUCUUAAGCAAAGAAUUACAUUUGCCUCGACCAAAAAAUCAUCACUUGCAUCUGUUCACGAAAUAUUUUCUUUCGAUUUAAAUUACCGCAAGUGUACGGUUCGUUAACAAGUAAUAAAGUGGAUUCAAUGAGUCCGAGUAUCGUCCCACAGAGAUUGGUUAGUUCAAUUUUACUUAUUCGACCUUAACCGAAACCAAAUUACUCAAAAUGAAUGCGGACCUAAUUAAAACUCUAAAAUUGGAAAGAAAACCCUACUUAUGCAACUUUUAUGAUUGUAAUGAAAUUAGUAAGCAAAACAAUAAUUUAAAACUCUAAAAUGAAAUCAAUUGUUGAGAACGCACGUUUGUUGUAAUCAAUAGAAAUUAAACACACUAGGAUCACGAUUUCCCAUGCAAUUAUCACUUUAAACUCUAGUUUCACAAUAUGACAACAUAAUUCAAUUGUUGACGAAUCAAUGUUCCUAAGUCUAUCCAAUACUCUCUCUCGAGAUGUAUCAAACCUAUUUCUACAUACCACCGGCCUAUAUUUCUAUGACAAGUGCAUAUGUAAAAAUGCAUGUAGUUUUAUGAACACUUAAAGAUUCACGUAUGGCAUAGCGGUAUAUUUCUAUCCUCUGUCGGACCCUACGAUAAUUUAUAUUAUGUCAGAUCUAUUCCAAUUCUCUCGAAUGCAAGAAUAAAUCACCCUAACUCACACAAUUACGGGCCCUUAAUUGCGGAAACAAUAAAUGCAUAUAAAUCAUUCAAAACAAAAGAAAUAUGUUUUAAUGUCAAAUUGCAAAACUAGAAAUAUAAAACUCAAAUCACAUGGUACAUCGAUCUCCUAGCACAUGAAAAUCUAGCCUAACAUAAUUGGAAAUAAAGAAAAACAACAAUUAAAACCAAGGAAGAACAUCACCCAAUUGAUUCUUGAAGUGAAAUCUUGAAUCUUGAAGUGGAUUGCCUUGUUUUUGCCUUGUUCUUCCUCUCCAAAUCCUCCAAAAUUGUGUUUUUGUGCCUCCAAUUACGUUCUCCCCUUCUUCUGGACGUUCUUUCGUAUUUAAAUCGCGUGGAAAUUAGGUUACCAAAGGAGUUUCAAUCGUAUAAGGAAACUGCAAAACGGCCCCCAGAUUAUACCUAUGCGACCGCAUAGUACAUUUCUAUGCUGUCGCAUAGAGUAAAAAAAUUUGAGAAAAAGUUCUCGGGAGGCUUCUAUGCGACCGCAUAGUUAUACAAUUCAUUCCGCUGGACAUUUUUUAGUAUUUUGGUCAUAACUUUCUCUCCUGAUCUCCGAUUGAAGUGAUUCAAACUGAAUUGUGAAGAAAACUCAAAGAUCUACACUUUUGAUAGAAAUAGGCUUCCUCAAAUUCUGAUGUUUAUUAUAUCAAAAAUGGAUCUCAAGUAGAUACUAAAAAUCACGAGCAUAGCUUUUUCGCCUGAAAGUUGAUACUUGAUAAUACUUCGACCCUAUUUCACCUCGUGACUCCUUUCCUCAUCGGAUUGACCUCUAACACUCUUGAAUCUUCAUUCCAUUUCCCGUCUCAUCUAUGAAUUAUUUGCAACUUGGUCCCCGAACUUUCAGUUUAAUUCAUUUUAGUCCUUUUUCGGCUCUCUUCUCCUGAAUUCCACUAUUUCCAUAGAAACACCUACAUUGCAUGAAUUCAAUGAGAUUAAGUCACAAUUCAAUCAUUUUAUCCAUGUUUAAGUCAUGUUUGUGAACCAAAUAAGUGUGAAAACAUACUUAUCAGCAUCUUUCUUCUUUCAUUUUCUAAUUUCUCUUAAUUAUGAUUUGAUUUUAGAAAUUGAUUACAUUAUUUAUAUGUUUGUUCUGCGAGGUUUGAUUCAAAAUAAUAACUUACUUUCGUUCAAGAAUCGAAAAAGAUGUAUCCAUAUUCAUGCAUUCAGAUUCAGUAACUAUUAAAUUGUGUUUGAUUAUAUUUAUUUUCCAUGGAAAAUGUCAGUUUUCCACCCAAAUUUUUACUUAGAGUGUUUGAUUGCUAUUUUUUUCAUGAAAAAUAUUUUCCAACUUUUGAAAAUAUGGUUAAUUUUCCUUGUUUUUAAGGAAAACAUUUUUCUUGGAUAGAGGUAAUUUUUAUUUUUCACAAAAAACGGAAAAUAUUUUCUGUUCUAGGUGUAUUUUCCGUGUCAAUUAAACACUUAUUGUUUUGCUUCUCAAAUUCUAUUUUGGUAAGUCGAAAUUACGUUUCGAUUUCACGUAAAUAAACGGUAUGCUUUUAUGAAUAUAAUAUGCACAUAAUUAGUGUAUUCCCCAACAAAUAUUUAGGUUGUGUUUGGGAGGGCUUUUUGGAAACUCAAAAAUACUUCUAGAUAAAAAUGCAGUCAUUUAAUAAAUAUAUUUUUUUUCUUUUUUUCUUUUUAAUAGAAGAGCUUUAAGUUGUUUAAGAGAAACUCCAAUUUGGAGCUUUUUCAAAAAACUCCAAUUUCAGUUUUUAUGGAAAGAUGAAAUCUUUAUUAACUAUGUUUAUUAGUUUACAGUAAAUUACCAAAUAUAUCUAACUUUUCCACCCAUUUUAAAGAUUAUUUUUGAACUCUUAAUAUGGCAUUUUUUUUGGGGGUUAUUUUCAUUUGUUAAUGCCCAAUCAUUGGCGGAUUUAGGGUGGGACAUGGUAGGUCACUUGCCCCACCAAUUUUUUUUUUUUUUGUGGGUUUUUGUUUCGUUUUUUUCCUUGUUUAAUGGAAAAUGUAAUACACUGGUUAGUGGCCGGGGGGGGGGGGGGGGGGGGGGGGGAUGUGAAUUUUAUAUUAAUAUUAUGGUUAUACUAUUUGCAGGAUUUUGACAUGGAUAAAUUGUCGAGUUAUUCGAAUAUUUUAAAUCAGUGAAUAGUGUUUAAUAUAUUUCUUUUUAUUUUAUGUUAAUGUUUAAUAUCGUUCCAAAAAAUUGACAGUUUUUCCCCAAUUAUUAUUGCACUAUAUUUUGGGUAAUCAAACUAUGUUAUUGUUAUUUCAAUCUUGAUUAAAACUUCUCGAAAGUGGUACACCGAUUCCUGUCACUGAUCUGCCGAAGUGUCCCGUCUCCGAGGUCGGGUUCAAGUGGACCCCCGUUAGAAGAUUCGCUGCCAAUUUAAGAUUUGCUCUGCAUAUAAGGUUUCAAUUGAUUUGACGUCCCCCAUAAAGCUAUUUGAUGUGACUUAUCAACUUUAUGUCAAUUCAACUCGGGGGAAACAAAUUGUCCGCCCACUCUACAAGCGCGGCUGAUUGACGCCUAUGAGCAGACGCUUCAUACCGUCAGAUGUAUACACGUGUUCCACAUCCCACGGUUCAUACCACCUAUAAAUACUCAAAGAUUGGCCAGAGGCAAAGGUAAUGAAACUCUCAAUAGAUAGCACUCCAUAACAAGUUUAUAUAUCCUCCUCCCCCUUUAUUGACUGAUUGAUUUGUGUAGUCCCUGGACACUGUUCCGACCACCCAAACCUGACUUGACCGUCGGAGUGUAUGCGGCCGCCACCCCCGUCGGUUCCGACCGUGUGCGCCUGACAGUUUGUUCAUUUCGUAGGGAGGAAUACGUGGAGUAGCUACAAGUUGGCCACGUGGAAGUGCCAUUUUUAGAGGUCAACAGUUUGGCGCCGUCUGUGGGAAACGUCAUUCCCCAUUCAAAGUCCUACAUUCCCCGUCGGAGAAGCCACCGGAAAAUCGGCGACUGACCCUGAAAAGGGAGGCAUUCUUGAAAAAGAAUAAAAGUCGAGUUACAAUCCAAGUUCUUACUAUCCUUGAAAGAAGAGGGAGGAUGAGCUACAGCCGUGAGGACAACCCCAUCAGAGAGGCCUCUGAAGAGGAAAUACUUCACAACAAUGUUACUCAUCAGAGACCGCAUCACCGGCGUCGACGAGGUGAAAGAACAGCCGUACUCACCGAAGGAAUGGCCCAGAUAGCUGCAGGCAUGAGAGACAUAGCAGCUCAGAAUAUGGCGAUGCGGGAACUUCUCAUGCAAGCUCAGGGACCCCAGAUGCCCCAAGGAUCGUAUCCGGUACGGGAAAUCCCUUUGUCUCAUUCUCGAGGCCACAUGAGCCGGCACACCGAACGUCCUCUCGAAAGAGAGGAUAACACCGAAGCGACAUCUUAUAUGCAGGAGAGCCACCCAUCAGAACCACUCUUGGGGNGCAGCCCGGCCUUGGGUAACAAGCUCUCUCUUCCGGCCCUGGGAGAAUCAGGUCCACACUGUCCGGGAUCCUAUAUUCUGUCCUAAGUCUACCAAGGUCGGCCUCCCUCAACUUUGAUGGGUAGUCCGACGCCCCCCAGUGCACAGAAGUAUCCGGAGAGCUAUCUGGUCGCUUCCACAUGUUCCCCCCCCAUUAUGGCCCCGGCUAUUUCUGAGGAGGUCGCCACAAUGGGCUCGUCCACCCUCACUAUUUCUAAACUCCUACCCAAACCAGAACUCCCUUCCGAGGCCAUUCGUUAAGAAAUUUUUAGUCUAAAUGGGUACUGAAACUUACGGGUUUGGAAGUGUUUCCUAGCCGGAAAUUGUGCGAGGUCGCCGAAAAUAUCGCUCUCUCUCUCGCCGGAGUUGUUUGUAGAACGCUGGAAAUCGCCGGAAAUUUGGGAGAAAAUUUUGUUUCUUUCGUAUGGCAAAGGUAGAAACUCUGAUAAGCCCCCAAAGUUCACCUUUUAUAGGAAAGACAAAUCCAACCUCCACCGUUCAAUUCAAAUACGAUCAAUCUAAACCGUUCGUUGUAUUCUCGAUCCCAGCCGUUGAAAUGAAACGGCAGAUUUGAUCUACGCCCAAGAUGUCGCUGUGGCUUUCACGCUAAAUUGAAACGCGUCGCCUCGGUUACCAACAGUCGUCAAUAAUAAUUACUGGCCGCAUCAGCCUUCUAGGGGAAUGGGCGUGGUACCCAACUGUCACCUUGGAAACACGCAACAAUUGUCAAAUCAUUGGACUUCCGGGUCACCUCAGAUGAUCUCCUCCCCUAACUUUACAAAGCUUGGACGCACCCGAUGCGAACCCCCGUUUGCUAUCGCCUCGGUCGCUGCGUCCCCUCCCAUGCUUUGCAAAGCUUGAGCCGUCUCCCUCUCCCUUCCAACGCUUCGGUGAAGACGGGUCCCUAUAAUUUUUAUGACGCUUUAGCGUACCCGACGCGAGCGUACCAUUGGCUCAUCGCCUCGGCUCUGCGUUGGUCCCAUGCUCUACAAAGUUGCAGCUACCCCCAUGCCGCAAUCCGGUCCGAAAAAUAAAUCCACGUAUAAUAUAAAUAUUCAUUCUCGGAUUUGGGGGACCACUGUUAUGCCUCAUUUUUAUGAGCCUCGGUACCGAGGUAUCGAAGUGUCAUCUUGCCACUCCGAAGCCGGUGAAAUCAAAUAGACCACCCCGACCUCCCGAAGCUUCUUACUCCCGAAGCUUCUUACCACUCCGACCUUCCGAAGCCUCUCACCACUCCGACCUCCCGAAGCUUCUCCAAAGUGGUACACCGAUUCCUGUCACUGAUCUGCCGAAGUGUCCCGUCUCCGAGGUCGGGUUCAAGUGGACCCCCGUUAGAAGAUUCGCUGCCAAUUUAAGAUUUGCUCUGCAUAUAAGGUUUCAAUUGAUUUGACGUCCCCCAUAAAGCUAUUUGAUGUGACUUAUCAACUUUAUGUCAAUUCAACUCGGGGGAAACAAACUGUCCGCCCACUCUACAAGCGCGGCUGAUUGACGCCUAUGAGCAGACGCUUCAUACCGUCAGAUGUAUACACGUGUUCCACAUCCCACGGUUCAUACCACCUAUAAAUACCCAAAGAUUGGCCAGAGGCAAAGGUAAUGAAACUCUCAAUAGAUAGCACUCCAUAACAAGUUUAUAUAUCCUCCUCCCCCUUUAUUGACUGAUUGAUUUGUGUAGUCCCUGGACACUGUUCCGACCACCCAAACCUGACUUGACCGUCGGAGUGUAUGCGGCCGCCACCCCCGUCGGUUCCGACCGUGUGCGCCUGACAGUUUGUUCAUUUCGUAGGGAGGAAUACGUGGAGUAUCUACAAGUUGGCCACGUGGAAGUGCCAUUUUUAGAGGUCAACACAAACUAUGUUAUUGUUAUUUCAAUCUUGAUUAAAACUGAAAGUUCAAAUUGUAUUUAAUUGAUAUGUACAUCUUCUAAUAAAGUGCUUAGAAGGCUUAUAUUAAAGAUUUAGACUUUGUUUGGCAAAUUUAUAAAUAGUUUAUAAAGAGGAAAAUGGUGCAACAAUAUCACGAGUUGCCUUAGGCAUAAGAACAAACACUGAAACUCCUCCAAGUAUAUGGUUAAAAACCUCACCUUCAUUAGUUACAUUUUAUAACUCACCAUCCGUUCAUCUAUUGGAAUUCUAACGUCCACUUAUUUUUUGGUGGUCCUUAAUGUCUCAAUCGACCGGACGUGAGAACAAGUCAACGUUUAAACAUAGCAUAGAAAAGAAAUUUAAUCCUUCUUGAAUUGUGGGUGCAGGAUUCUUUGAAGAAUUUGUCUCGAUCGUGCACCUCAAAAAUGAAGCCACGUUUCGUAAGAUAAUUUUGCUUGAUUAGAUGUUUGUCCUCGAAGACAUAAUUUAUGUCAUAUUAAUAUGUCUGAAGAUUUUGAAGAGUUUUUCCCUCGUAUGUGGCAUAAGCCACAUAAUAAAUUUAGACACCGAUUUUCCUUAUAAAUACCAUCUAAAUACUCAUGGCAAUUCUGUAAAUAUCUGAUCUAGAAUGGACAAAGUUGAAAAUUUCUAUACUAUGUUUGCAUUUGUAUCUUAAAGUUAUUGUCAGUAAGGAUCAUAACUACAAAAACUAUGUUUCUUAUUUUAAUUCUGCUGGGUGUACAUAUUUUGGCUCACAAAAAACGUCCAAAUGAGUUGGCAGUAUUUAAAAAAAAAAAUUAGAAAAGUCAGACCAAUUGUCCCAUCCCAUUUACCCCUUUCACUAACCCAAAACUCAUUCUCCCACCCAUUUAACCCACCGAAUAGAGAAAGAAAUCCCAAGACUUUGCCGCUAGCUAUGAUUCAUGUCUCCGACAAGUUCAUUCUACUAAACCAUGAAUAAGCCCAAGCUUUUCAACUCUAUAACUAUUUACACUUGCAUAAACCCUUAUCUCCUACCCAUUUUGCCGCCGCGAUCGUAACUCUCCGGCUGCUAGCGUUUAACCGUUCCAGCAAAAGGCCGAUGUCUUCAAACCCUAUCUCUUACCCAUCCUUUGCACAUUUGUUGAACGAUAUGUGUUUUGGGUUUUUUUAUAGUCUUAAUGUUAUUCAGAGUAGAAGACGGAAAGCAUACAAGAAUAACAAGGAAUUCAAAAUAUGAGUCUUUCCCCAUUUUGCAGUUCUGUAAUGAGAAUGUUGGAUUUUAUUGACAUUUACUUUUUUGUUUAUUUAAUGUUGUAAAUUGUGUGUAUAAAAACUUGAUUUUCACUUAUUUAUGCUAACUUAUAAUCUUUCAAUUGCUAGAACUAUAAGGUACAAAGUCGAAUUUUCAGUGCAUAUCAUCCAAUAACCAUGAAGAAAUUGUAAUGAAAGACUUUGACAAGCUUCAGAAAGAGAAAAAAAGUUGAAAGAGUUCAAAUUCUACUAAAAAACAAAUGAAAUAAAAGCAGCACUACUUCAUGCUACAGUCAACAUUUGUGCUCGUAAUGAGCAAAUGUUAAGAGACAUUGUCCACUUAAGUUUUUAAUUAUUGCUUUCCUCACCUGUUCAUUAUAUUUUUCAUUGGGUAUUCGAUUUUGACUGCAAUCUGGUGGUAUAAGCUGCUCAAUUUCCAAAUCCUCUAAAUAUUGUUUGCCAUGUAGGGAUGAUAGGGAGGAAUUUCAGUGUUUGACACAGUUGUAGAAGCUCAAAUCACUACUUUGGAGAUUGCAAGAGCAAAGUUCGUUGUCCAUGGUGUGUAGUCGGAAUUCAAAAAUGUUUCGAGGUUGAAAAGGAAGGCAAUAAC